UCUCUUCCUUGUUUUACAAAAUGUCUCAAAUCACAAUAAAAUCUCCAAAACACUGUGCCACAAAACAAGUAAGAAUAGAGAGAAACUACAAGAAAAUCUUCUUUGCUUUCUCAACAUUUUUCACCACAAUCCUAUUGCUCAUACUUCUCAUCUAUUUCAUCCUUAAACCCUCCAAACCUCAAUUCUCCCUCCAAGAACUUGACAUCUAUCAACUAAACCUCUCAGGACCAAUCCUCAACUCCUCAAUCCAACUCACUCUUCUCUCCAAAAAUCCAAACCAAAAAGUUAGCAUUUACUACGACGAGUUUCAAGUUUAUGCAACUUACAAGAAUCAACAAAUAACUAGUGAUUCAUUUGUGC
rnacentral:lncRNA from 1 species